rnacentral:rRNA from 1 species
GGCGGACGGGUGAGUAACACUUAGGAAUCUACCUAGUAGUGGGGGAUAGCUCGGGGAAACUCGAAUUAAUACCGCAUACGACCUACGGGAGAAAGGUCGCUAUUAGAUGAGCCUAAGUCGGAUUAGCUAGAUGGUGGGGUAAAGGCCUACCAUGGCGACGAUCUGUAGCUGGUCUGAGAGGAUGAUCAGCCACACCGGGACUGAGACACGGCCCGGACUCCUACGGGAGGCAGCAGUGGGGAAUAUUGGACAAUGGGGGCAACCCUGAUCCAGCCAUGCCGCGUGUGUGAAGAAGGCCUUUUGGUUGUAAAGCACUUUAAGCAGUGAAGAUGACAUUAGCUGCAGAAUAAGCACCGGCUAACUCUGUGCCAGCAGCCGCGGUAAUACAGAGGGUGCAAGCGUUAAUCGGAAUUACUGGGCGUAGAGCGAGCGUAGGUGGCUUGAUAAGUCAGAUGUGAAAUCCCCGGGCUUAACCUGGGAACUGCAUCUGAUACUGUUAAGCUAGAGUAGGUGAGAGGGAAGUAGAAUUUCAGGUGUAGCGGUGAAAUGCGUAGAGAUCUGAAGGAAUACCGAUGGCGAAGGCAGCUUCCUGGCAUCAUACUGACACUGAGGCUCGAGAGCGUGGGUAGCAAACAGGAUUAGAUACCCUGGUAGUCCACACCGUAAACGAUGUCUACUAGUCGUUGGGUACUUAGUGACGCAGCUAACGCAAUAAGUAGACCGCCUGGGGAGUACGGCCGCAAGGUUAAAACUCAAAUGAAUUGACGGGGGCCCGCACAAG